rnacentral:rRNA from 1 species
GACGGAGGGUGCUAGCGUUGUUCGGAAUUACUGGGCGUAAAGGGCGCGUAGGCGGCCUGGUCAGUCGGGUGUGAAAGCCCGGGGCUCAACCCCGGAACGGCACCCGAGACGGUCAGGCUGGAGACCGGGAGAGGAGGGUGGAAUAGCCAGUGUAGAGGUGAAAUUCGUAGAUAUUGGCUGGAACACCGGUGGCGAAAGCGGCUCUCUGGCCCGGUUCUGACGAUGAGGCGCGAAAGCGUGGGGAGCAAACAGG